rnacentral:lncRNA from 10 species
CCGACUAAUUUUUUUGUUUUUUGUAGAGACCGGGUCUCACUGUGUUGCCCAGGCUGGUCUCAAAUUCCUGGGCUCAAGUAAUCUGCCCACCUCAGCCUCCCAGAGUGCUGGGAUUACAGGCGUGGGCCACCCAGCCUGUUCCCCACCUUCUCUUCGGGUUCAUUUCAGCACGUGCAUCACUUUGUCCAGAAAGUCUUUCCUAGCCUCCCACACUGCUUUAGGUCUCCCUGUUACAGGUUUUCAGGGCCUCUAACACCUCUUCUACUGAGCAGUUAAUAAUUAUAAUUAGAUAACAAAUUCCAUAAUGAGAUAUUUAGUAUAUGUACCCCCUAGGGGAGUGUAAACAACCCACCAGCAAGGACCUGAUGGGUGUUAUUCACUGAACUGCUAUCAGGAGACCAUGCAAAUAAUGGGCAAUUAGUGAGGGCUUCUUACAAGAUCAGGAGCAACUGAUCAAAGCUGACCUCAAAGUCUGUUUAGCUGCAUUUCCUCUACUUGAAAUAUUUGGGUCAUUUGGGACUUUUCCACUUGUCACUCCAGCCUUUCUCUGCUGUCCUUUCAACAGCAUCAACAAAAUACAGACUGCAGCCCAAGCCCAGCCUGCCACCUGUUUUUAGGAGGACUGACAUAAGAAUGACUUUUACUUUUUAAUGUUGAUUUAUUUGUUUGAUUAUCUCUUACAUGGAGAUGGGGUCUCGCUUUGUUGCCCAGGCUGGUCUCCAACUCCUGGCCUCAAGCGAUCCUCUUGCUUCUGCCUCCCAAAGUGUUGGGAUGGCAGACACGAGCCACUGCACUCAGCCAUACUUUUUUAGAUGGUAAAAGAAAAAAAGAACAAUACUUGAUGACAUGAAAAUUACAUGAUAUGCAAAUUUCAGUGAUCAUAAAUAAAGAUUUAUUGGAACCCAGCCAUGCCCAUUCAUUUACAUAUUGUCCUGUUUCAGCAGGGACCGUAUGACCCUCCAAAUUGGACAUAUUUAUUAUCUUCUUUUGCAGAAAAAUCUUGCCGACUCCUGGUCUAAAGGAAGGGAUGGCUACUACAACCAUUUAUCAAAAUAGAAAACCGUGUUACAAACCACACAAAAAAGUCCUGGGCCAGUUUACUGUUGCAAUGAGAGAGAACCAAAAAGACAAAAAGAAAAACAAAAACACGUAGACCAGGGGCCCAGUCUCUUGAAGGCUAGGCUGCCAAGGUGCUAAUGAGGCUAAUAAUAAGAAUUUAAAAGUUACUUUGAAAUGAAAAUGAGCUAUAGCCCAGGAAGACAUCCAGCAUUUAGUGGGCCCUCAAUAAAAUAACCUGUUCAUUCACAAAAUGUCCCCUCCUCAGGGCAGGGUCUUAGAGAGAACACGCUGGUUGCAGGGUGUCUCAUCUUAAAAUGAGUCAGUCAAAGGUUAAAAAUAACAGACUGUGGGAAUCAAAGGAAGCUGAAUGGUGGUGGGUCCUGCAGGCUCAAGGUGAAAUCAGCCUUGUUUCAGAUUCCACUUCCAGUGAACUAAAACCAGAAUGCCUAAAGAUGAAAGACAAAAGCAGAGGCUCCUCUGAAUGGAGGGUUUUGUGAUUUGCUUUCCUUUAGGCUGACUGGGGAGACAUAAGGUCAUGUUUACUCCUUUCUAAUGCUUGUAGCAAUUCAGUGCACACAAAGGAGACUACAAUAAUUUUCUUUUCUCUUUCCUUUCUUCUUCCAUCCUUUCCUAGUGCAGAUAACAGCUUUGGCUGGUCAGAAGUUAGUGAGUUAUCUCAAUUGAUUGUUCACAGAUCAGUUCCAGACUGAACUCCUUAUUCUAUUCCUUCUCCUUUUCUCACUACUGUAUUUGACUAGUCUUUCUAAAAAAUAAAAUAAUAAAUUAAGAAAGAAUGGGUGUGGUGGCUCCUGGCUGUAAUCUCAGCACUUUGGGAAGCUGAGGCGGGUGGAUUGCUAGAGCACAGGAGAUCAAGACCAGUCUGGGCAACAUAGCCAGAACCCAUCUGUAAAAAAAACAAAAUUUAUUCCAGUGUGGUGGCACAUGCCUGUAGUCCCAGUUACUCCGGAGACUGAGACGAGAAGAUCGCUUGAGCCGGGGAGGUCGAGGCUGCAGUGAGCUGUGAUGGCACCACUGCACUCCAGCCUGGGUGACAGAGCAAGACCUUGUCUCAGAAACAAAUAAACACACAAAACCCAGCUUUCACUGUAGGGUUAGCUGGGGAAACUGAGGCUCAGAGACUGUAAGUUAUUUGCCCCAGGUUCCCCUUCCAGUGCAUGACUUCAUCACAGAACACAGGGCCUCCCCCUCUGCAUCGCCUUCCAUCAGGAUGCCCCAUUGCCCUGGUCCUCUCAGCUUCUGCCUAAAUGACAAUCUCCGUAUUAAUCAUCGUGAAGCCCCAGGACUUACAGAAGCCAAAUCCAAGCUGAAAAUGGAGGCAAUUACCCAGAUAAUUUAGGUAAACAUGGGGGUUGUGUUGUGAGUGUUUUAACAUCCACAUCUGAGUUAUCGAGUAAUUGUUUCCCCUCCUGCUCCCCAUUGUGUUGUUGAAGAGGCCAAUUCUCCACAGACAGCCCCUGUUUGUUUUGUCCCCGGUUGAACAAGGCCUGGUAGCUAAGGAGAAAGGGCAGGAACAAAAACCACAGGGAGAGAGAGGCAGACUGGGUGAACUCUGGAGGGCCAAGCCAAUUUGUGUUUGAGGUCAAUCACCUUUGUGCUGCCACAAAAACCCCAUCCAGGAGGCACACUAAAAACCCCAUCCAGGAGGCACACUAAAAACCCCAUCCAGGAGGCACACUCGACGCCCUAGCAAUUCUGCUCUGUGAAAACACUCCCAACAUGUAAUAUCAAAGCAGCUAUGGUGUGCGUGUGUGCUCAUGCUCAAAAAUAAAAUUGAGCAAAUACAGCAGGGUUUUGGAAAAGAAACUAAAAACAAGUCUUCUAUAAUUUCUUACAAAAAAAGAGUGAAUUUCAGAGUCAGAUAUGUCUGUCCCCCUCCCCUCUCAUGCCUCCCAUUUGCUUAGGAACUGUGUGACCUUGGAAAGGGCUGAAGCUUCUUGGAGACUUCACUUCUCUCCUCUUAAAACAGGGCUGAUAAUAAUCCCUGCUUUAUGGGGUUGUUGGGAGAUAAGGCAGAUCCCGCACAGAGCCCCCCAGGGACUCCGACAGUAAGUUUGAUGCACGCCUGCUAUUAUGAUUAUUUGUGGGGUCUGAGAUCCCAUCUGCUAAAGUGAACACAAUCACAUGCAUAUCCAGAAACAAGGUAACUACCCCCAGACCUCCCAGCCAGCCAGCUUCUUUCCUGGUCGGCACACCACAGUGAAACAGGAAGGCUGGUGCCCCACAGACACCCGAACAAUGGGAAAUCCAUGCGUUAAAAUUUUAUAGACUGCGGCAGCCCAGUUCAAAAGAAACAGGCUUUAAAGAAAAGCAAACUGGUGUCCAAUGACAUCAAAUAGAACCAGGAGCUCCAAAGUACAUAAGCUUCUUGUCUCUGUUCUUAUUUAUUUAUUGCUGUUGCUCACGCCAGUCAGGGCAGCAGGGGGCUGGCAGGCUUACUCAUGGGCCCAGAUAAGGAAGCGGAGGCGUAGAAGGGUUAAGUUCUGAUGUCAGGACUCAAAGCCAUUUCAAGGCCAGAGAACUCCAUGUUCCAUAAACACAAGGGCAACCCGGCAAGCCAAAAGGAGCACAAAAAUGUUGAGUGUGAAUCAAAACAUAUGUAGUGAUGCUAAAAAUCAAACAGGUGUGCUCUCACCAAUCCUUGCGUGUCCAUGGCAACCUUCCAUUGGGAACAGCCAUUCCCAACCCAAUUGCACAUUAAAUUAACCUGGGGAGCCUUAAGGGUUCCCAGUGCCUGAGCUCCACAUCAGACUGGUUGAAUCAAAGUUUGGGGGAUAGGCCCUCUCUGGGUUUUCUUUUCUUUUCUUUUUUUCUCUUCUCUUCUCUUUUCUUUUCUUUCUUUGCUCUUCUCUUCUUUUUUCUUUUUCUUUUUCUUUUCUUUUCUUUUUUUUUUGGGACAGGGUCUCACUGUAUUGCCCAAGCUGGAGUACAGUGGUGCGAUCAUGGCUCACUGCAGCCUCGAACUCCUGGGCUCAAACAAUCCUCCAGCCUCAGCCUUUCAGGUAACUGGGACUACAGGCAUGCACCACCGUGGCUAGCUAAUUUUUAUUUUUUUACUUUUUACUUUUUGGUAGAGACGAGGUUUCACCAUGUUGCCCAGGCUGGUGUUGAACUCCUGGGCUCAAGUUAUCUGCCCACCUCAGCCUCCCAGGAUGCUGAGAUUACAGGUGUAAGUUCCGGUCCAGUAUUUUUUUAAAGUUUCCCAAGUGAUUCCAAAGAACAUCCACACCAUUUGGAGAUGUUGGCAGUUCCUACAAGCUAUUCACAAUCUCAUUAGUUGUUCCUAGGGGUGAAAAAAGAAAACAAAUAUUUUCCACUUUUUGAGUUAAAAAAGGCUUUGAAAAGAGUGAGAAAGGCCGGGUGCGGUGGCUCACACCUGUACUCUCAGCGCUUUGGGAGGCUGAGGCAGCCAGAUCACUUGAGC